rnacentral:lncRNA from 1 species
GGGAUGCAUCAACUAUUAUAAUUUAUUUUUUUAUUUUGGGAAAAAAUGUUGGGAAUGAAUCUGUAAAUGCUACAAGUAUGAAACAUCCCAAAUCAAAUCAACGUUGUAUUCCCGCCUGCGCGUGCGAUGUUGUAUUAUUUAGUGUUGAGGUCCCACACGCAAGACGUUUCUUGCCUGCGUGUGGUGAUUUUUUUCCAUCGUUUGGGUGGUGGUGAGAUCCCGAUUGCAUGCGAGUUGCAUAAUUGAUUAUACAGCCCCUACUACUAUAAAGUAUAAAGGUAGCUCAGUCGAAUAUGCAUUAGAGAGCUCUUCGAGCUUCCUUUACGGCUUUAGAGGGAAUUACAUGUUAUUGUUAAAUUGAUACUAUAAUCAAUAACGCAACUGUUGCAAUUAGAGGGAGAAGAACUUUGCUAUAGAAAAAAUAAACUAAAAGAAGGAUAUUGCUCUUACGAUUCCAAUACUUCCGAGGGUGGUGGAUUUUGGGGUGUUUCUCUCCCUCUCAAAUCCAGGACACACGCCACGCAGGAGCUUCUAAGGAUGCGUAAUCUGCCACAACGGAAACAUUUCGCUAGCAUCUCUCUCCACGUCUAUAAGGUCCAGCCGAGAGAAGNAAACAACCGUGCAUCAUAUAUAUUUGUUUAUUCACGCGUUUCUUCUACGCGUGCACUUUAUUAGGUGCGCUCUAGUUUUCGCAUAAAGUAUACAAGUUUUAAUUUUAUUUGCAUGACAUCUUGAUCUUAGCCUCUAAGAAUUAAAUUUAAUAAUGGAAAAAUGAAUUUUCAAAUUUUUUGAAAAAUGAAUUAUAUAGUUUCUUAAUUGUAUAGUAGUGGUAGUUAUGAUUCGACACGUAAUAUUGGUCCAUUAAAUUUAUGCGGAUUCAUAUUGAUUAUGAUGGACUUUUCCGAAUAAGUUCCGUAACGUUUCGAAAUAUCGUAGAAAUUGCCAAAUAGAUAGUCUGAUUCUGAGAUACUACAAUUUUACUUUAGAUUUUAUUAGUAAUAUUAGUAAUUAGAAAUAUGAAACAAAUAAAUCGUCAGCACCUUAGAGUAAGUAAUUUGAUAGUAGUCAAUAUUCUUCAAAUCCCUUCCUUUGAAUUAAAAAACUAAAACUAGUUUUAGCUCAUUGUGGCGAUUAAAUUGCUUGUUAUCGUUAUAUGACUGAUUUUUACUGAAUACGGUUGAUUUAUACUUUCAUAAAUAAGUGUUGCACUUGCACCAACACAAUGCUUAUUGCAAAUAUAUAUUGAUUUUUUACGAAAAUAUAAAUAUAUUUCAUACACGUGGACACAUUUUUUUUUUUUAAUGUAUUUUUAGGCAAUAAAUAAUGUAUUUUUUUUACUGAGAAUAUUAAAAAAUAAAAUAAUAGAUGCAAAGAUGGACAUUCUUUUUAAAAGUUUUAAUAAACUGAAUAAAUAUAUAUUUUCAAUAAACAAUUUUACCCAUUUAGAAUUUAUUUAUACACUUUUCUAUUAUAUUAAUAUGAUUAGUGCAUCCAAUCUUUUGGGCAGCUUUGGGCAGCCAAACUUCCCUAAUCUUCAUUUUUGAAAAAAGCAAUCGAACUUUUUGCUUGACCUUCUCGUUCAUUAUCAUUCUUGAUUAUCAUGACUUGUAAAAAUAAGCAGAAUGGCCGGUUAAUUAAUAUUAAGUGUANCUUUGGGCAGCCAAACUUCCCUAAUCUUCAUUUUUGAAAAAAGCAAUCGAACUUUUUGCUUGACCUUCUCGUUCAUUAUCAUUCUUGAUUAUCAUGACUUGUAAAAAUAAGCAGAAUGGCCGGUUAAUUAAUAUUAAGUGUCCAUGAAUGAUAUAAUAAGCUCCCACCCAGUUCACGUAGUGGAGUCCGCAAUAAAAAAAUUGAUUAUCCUGUUUAUAUGCAUACCCCAUUAAUCAUUUUAUAAUCCAUCCAUUAAUUAGUCAAAUCUUGUGCAAUUGUAAUCAGGGAAUGUUGAUCGAAUCCUUCAAGACUUGCGUGGAAUAAUUAUAGUAUUAGGGUGUGCUUGCUUUGAGGUAUAAGGGAGGAAUAAACUACAUUUAUCAUUUUAUACUUCGUUUGCUUUGAUGUAUAAAAAAAUGUGGUCUUGGGUGAAACCGGUUACACCGUACAACCGGGUUGCACCCUCACUUAAAUCAUGUUUUGUACCAUAACUUGAAUUCAUAUCAUGAUCAUAACCGUAUAAAUAACACUAUUUUAGAUGCGGGUCAACCCAGUUGCAUGGUGCAACUGGUUGCACCCAUAUUUUUGUGAUAAAAAAAUUCGGGCACGUUGUAUAAUUUUUCGGACAACCCCUUAUCUAUUGGGAAAUGGAGAAUUUUAUACCUAACAGAGGGUGGUAUAAUUUUAUACUACCUUAUAAAGAAUGAAUUAAUAUAUUAUCCUUCGAACCAAAUAAGAUAUAGUAACAAAUAUCAUCCUCACUUUAAAUAAGAAGUUUAUACCUCAUUAUAUUAUCCCUUCAUUUAUAGGGAUAAAAAACAAACACACCCUUAGUAUAUUAUUUGGUGCAAACUUGAUCAUGUGGUUGGCUAGGGGGUCCAAAUAUUAUUUGGUGCAAACUUGAUCAUGUGGUUGGCUAGGGGGUCCAAAUAAGUCAUCCAUGAGGGAAUUAUUAAACAAAUAUAUCCGUAAAACUGAUCAUUAAAAAAAUGCAACAAAUAUCUAUCAAGAACAUGUUGAAGAUAUCUACAGAAUGCUAUAACUGAGGAGAGAAUACUAAAAAUAUGACACAAACUUUACAGAAGUAUGUGAUGCAUCGACUAUUAUAAUUUAUCUUUUUUAUUUUGAGAAAAAUAUAUUAUAAUUUAUAUAGAAUAUAAGAUGUUGGGAAAGAAUCUGUAAAUGCUACAAGUAUGAAACAUCCCGAAUCAAAUCAACAUUAACAAGAUAAUAAUUAUCCUAUAGCCAAGAGUAUUUUAGGCAUAUUGUGGUGCAUAGAAUAAACCGAUUAUGAAUAAGGUAUCCCAUGAGGGCUCAACCCUAGAGUUCUUACGGCUUUAAGGGAAUUACAUGUUAUUGUUAAAUUGAUACUAUAAUCAAUAACGCAACUGUUGCAAUUAGAGGGAGAAGAACUUUGCUAUAGAAAAAAUAAACUAAAAGAAGGAUAUUGCUCUUACGAUUCCAAUACUUCCGAGGGUGGUGGAUUUUGGGGUGUUUCUCUCCCUCUCAAAUCCAGGACACACGCCACGCAGGAGCUUCUAAGGAUGCGUAAUCUGCCACAACGGAAACAUUUCGCUAGCAUCUCUCUCCACGUCUAUAAGGUCCAGCCGAGAGAAGACGUGGGUGUGUUCACAGCAGCCACACCAGUCUGAAUCACAAGAUUAAAAUUGAUGAAACUUGCCAAGAAAUAUCCUAAACGUGUUACCGGCAUGGACUGCUUUUAAGAUAUGACAGAAACCUAAAUUCUAAUAUCAACAAAGAGCCAUACUGUCACUGACAGGCAAGCAUGGGAACAGGUGUAUCAUUUCUUUGUUUUUUUCUUUCACAUAGAUGGGCAUAAGAUAUUUAGCCUUAUUGCACAAAUUCAUCAAGAACUGCUUAUUCAUCAUAUAUGUAGUGAAGAAGAGUGGAAACAAUAAGCAUUAA